UAAUGGUGAUAAAGACAAUUUCUGAUCAUGCCUCUAAAUCUCUCCCAAGCUUGUUAGAGAUUCUCUCUAUCUUUUUGUAUAAAACUCAAGAUCUCACUCCUCAAACA
rfam:Capsicum annuum cultivar Zunla-1 chromosome 5, whole genome shotgun sequence